rnacentral:rRNA from 1 species
CUUGAUUAGUGGCGCACGGGUGAGUAAUGCAUAGAUAAUGUGCCCCUUAGUUCGGGAUAGCCACUGGAAACGGUGAUUAAUACCGGAUACUCCUUCUUGUUAUAAGACAAGUCGGGAAAGUUUUUCGCUAAGGGAUCAGUCUAUGUUCCAUCAGCUUGUUGGUGAGGUAAUGGCUCACCAAGGCUAUGACGGAUAUCUGGUUUGAGAGGAUGAUCAGACACACUGGAACUGAGACACGGUCCAGACUCCUACGGGAGGCAGCAGUGAGGAAUAUUGCACAAUGGAGGAAACUCUGGUGCAGCAACGCCGCGUGGAGGAUGACGCAUUUCGGUGUGUAAACUCCUUUUAUUAGGGAAGAUAAUGACGGUACCUAAUGAAUAAGCACCGGCUAACUCCGCGCCAGCAGCCGCGGUAAUACGGAGGGUGCAAGCGUUACUCGGAAUCACUGGGCGUAAAGGGUGCGUAGGCUGGCUUUUAAGUCAGAUGUGAAAUCCAAUGGCUCAACCAUUGAACUGCAUUUGAAACUGAAAGCCUAGAGUUCAGAAGGGGCAGAUGGAAUUAGUGGUGUAGGGGUAAAAUCCGUAGAUAUCACUAGGAAUAUCAAAAGCGAAGGCGAUCU